rnacentral:rRNA from 1 species
GGGGGUAAAUUAAUAAAAAAUAAAUAAUAAAAUAAAUUUUAAAAUUAAAAAUAAAUAAUGGGGGUUAAAGUAUUUUUAAUAGAAAAAAUUUGAAAUUUUAUAGGGGAUUAGUAUUGUGAAAGAAAUUUGAAAUAAGUUAAAAUUAAUUAAUUGGAAAGAAAAUUUAAUUUAUAGUAUCUUGGGUAUCAGAGUUUAUUAAAUAAAUUUUUAAAAUUAAAAAAUCUCGAAUUUAAAAGAGUUAAUUAAUUAUAAAAGUUAAUGUAACAUAAUUAUUUUAAAUAAUUAAUUAGAAAUGAAAUGUUAAUCGUUUUUAAAAAUAUCUAGUUAUUUUAGAAAAAAAUUUAAUUUAAAAUUUAAAUAAUUUUAUAAUUAAAUAAUAAAAAUUAUAAAAAUUUAAAUUUAAUAUAUUAAGGGAUAAACUUUAAAUUAAAAAUUUAUAAUAAAAUAAAUAAAAAUUAAAAUUUUUAAAAUUUAUAUUGUUUAAAAAUUAUAAUUUUUUAUAAAAAAUUUUAAUGUAAAUAAAAUUUAAUAAAAAAAAAUUUAAAUUUAUAUAAAAUAAUAUUUUUUAAUUUAAUAAAAUUAAUAAUAAUGAUAAAAUUAGUAAAUAAAUAAUAAAAAUAAGUAAAUAUUAAUUAAAAUUGAAAAAAAGGAAUUCGGCAAAUAAAAUAUUCACUUGUUUAUCAAAAACAUGUCUUUUUGAAAUAAUUUAAAGUCUAAUCUGCCCACUGAUAAAAAUUAAAGGGCUGCAGUAUAAUGACUGUACAAAGGUAGCAUAAUCAAUAGUUUUUUAAUUGGAAACUUGUAUGAAAGAUUUGAUGAAAUAUAAACUGUCUCUAUUUUAUAAAUUGAAUUUUAUUUUUUAGUAAAAAAGCUAAAAUAAAUUUAAAAGACGAGAAGACCCUAUAGAGUUUUAUAUUUAAUUUUAUUUGAAAAUUAUAUAAAAAUUAUUAUUUAAAUAAAAUUAAUUAUUAUGUUGGGGUGACAGAAAAAUUAAAUUAACUUUUUUUAAAAAUUAAACAUAAAUAAGUGAUUAUAUGAUCCAUAAAUAAUGAUUAUAAGAAAAAAUUACCUUAGGGAUAACAGCGUAAUAUUUUUUUUUAGUUCAAAUAAAAAAGAAAGUUUGCGACCUCGAUGUUGGAUUAAGAUAAAAUUUAAAUGCAAAAGUUUAAAAUUUUUGAUCUGUUCGAUCAUUAAAAUCUUACAUGAUCUGAGUUCAAACCGGUGUGAGCCAGGUUGGUUUCUAUCUUUAGAUAAAAUAAUAUUUUAGUACGAAAGGAUCAAAUAUUAAAAAUAAUUUUAAUAUAUGAAUAUUAUUAAUUGAAAUUAAAUAAAUUAU